rnacentral:rRNA from 1 species
ACGGUAUUUAACCAGAAAGUCACGGCUAACUACGUGCCAGCAGCCGCGGUAAUACGUAGGUGGCAAGCGUUAUCCGGAUUUAUUGGGCGUAAGAGAGUGCAGCGGUUUUCUAAGUCUGAUGUGAAAGACCUUCGGCUUAACCGGAGAAGUGCAUCGGAAACUGGAUAACUUGAGUGCAGAAGAGGGUAGUGGAACUCCAUGUGUAGCGGUGGAAUGCGUAGAUAUAUGGAAGAACACCAGUGGCGAAGGCGGCUACCUCGGUCUGCAACUGACGCUGAGACCUCGAAAGCAUGGGUAGCGAACAGGAUUAGAUACCCCUGGUAG